GCCACAUAAAUGUUAAAUUUCAGGACUUGCACAGCCACCAUAGAGACCACGAGUUCCACAAGUCUUUUAUCUCUUUAUUGCUGUCAAUAAAAGCAAAUAUAAGUUAGAAGCCGAGAGUCGAAUACUAAAGCUGCGCGGAAAAACACUGGACAUUUUUGAAUUACAGCUGCGAAUGCCCAAUACGGCCAAAGAAGAUUAAACAGCUUACAGAGAAACAUGAAAAUAUUAAGGGCAAGUCGGAAGCUCCUGGGGUCAAAUAAAAGUUCCAAGAACAACAGUAAAUAUAGACAAUCAACUCAGAUGUGUAUGUGUUUCAGGUCCUUCAUAUCGACCAUCAUCUACUUCCACAGCUUUCGCAGUGACAUGUUCUUCUCAGUCUCUUUCUUCAUUACUUUAGCAACAGCCAUCUCAAAAUCUUCUUGCGUCACAUGCACCCUCCUCUCUCUUAGAGCAAACAUCCCUGCUUCCGUACAUACGGCCUUAAGUUCAGCCCCAGAAGCACCACUCAUCUUCUCAGCAAUCUUCUUCAAAUCAAUCCCCCGCAUCAAGUUCAUCUUCCUCGAAUGAAUCUUUAAAAUGUCCUGACGAGACUCUUCAUUGGGAUUUGGGAAUUCAAUCUUCCUGUCUAUCCUUCCUGGUCUAAGGAGUGCUUGAUCUAGAAUAUCUAUACGGUUUGUGGCCAUCAGAACCUUGAUUUUGUUUGAUGCCUCAAAUCCAUCAAGCUGAUUGAGAAGUUCAAGCAUUGUCCUCUGCACUUCACUGUCACCAUUGCCACUCCCUGAUUCCAUCCUAGCAGAUCCAAUGCUGUCUAUCUCAUCCAUAAAAAUGAUAGAAGGAGCAUGUUCCCUGGCCAUAACAAAAAGUUCUCUCACCAUUCGAGAACCUUCUCCAAUAUAUUUCUGCACUAGUUCGGAACCAGAGACCCUAAUGAAGGUACAAUCAGUGUGAUGUGCAACUGCCCUAGCCAACAAUGUUUUCCCAGUUCCUGGAGGUCCAUAGAGCAGCACUCCCUUUGGCUGAGCUAUUCCAAGAGACUCAAAUAACUCAGGAUGCUUUAUAGGAAGCUCAAUAACCUCUUUAAUCUCCUUGAUCUGCUGGUCAAGACCACCAAUCAUGUCAUAAGUGGAAUCUGGCACUUUCUCAACUUUCAUGAGGUUGACCAAUGGAUCAACUUUGCUGGGCAAAAUUAGAUGAAGAACAUAGCUAUCAUUGCGCAGGGCAACUCUAGUUGAUGGAGUGAUCUUUGUAAUGUCAAUGUUUUUGCCAAUAUCAACAACAUAUUUGCCUUCAGGAUGAACUUUGACUAGAACCUUUGACUUCCCCAUUACUUUAACAACUUCACCAACAUAUGAUCCAGGCUCCUGAAGCAAUUGUAAUUCCUCUUUUAGCAUUCUCACUUUAGAAUUGAGUUCGUUCCUCUGGGCUUCAAGGCGAUUAAGAUUGUGAGUCUUUACGCGGACUUGGAGCUGGAGAUCAUGGAUGUGCUGCAUAUAGUACUGUCUCAGCCCUUCCCCUUGCUUUGUUGGUUUGGCCGAACAGGCUUCCUCUCUCUCCAUAUCGCUCCUCCUCUUCUCAACAUCAACUGAUGCCAUUUUUCCAGAUAGGUUUUGAAGAAAUCGCUGUGAUUUGCGUCGUCCGGACUAAUUGGGUUUGGCACUGAAAGAAGAAUAUAGCGCAGCAAUUGGAAUUUCCCGUAUCGGUUUGGGGAUUUUAAAGCUCGUUUCUUGUUGGAAGGGAAAACAAUACAUGGGGAUAGCAAUGGGGGUCCUGGAUUGCAAUGG
rnacentral:misc_RNA from 1 species